rnacentral:tRNA from 1 species
GCGCCCGUAGCUCAGGGGAUAGAGCGCUUGACUACGAAUCAAGAGGCCGUAGGUUCGAUUCCUACCGGGCGCACCA